UGGGGAAUAUUGGACAAUGGGGGGAACCCUGAUCCAGCCAUGCCGCGUGUGUGAAGAAGGCCUUAUGGUUGUAAAGCACUUUAAGAGAGGAGGAGGGUACUGGUAUUAAUACUACCAGGUACUGGACGUUACUGGCAGAAUAAGCACCGGCUAACUCUGUGCCAGCAGCCGCGGUAAUACAGAGGGUGCGAGCGUUAAUAGGAUUUACUGGGCGUAAAGCGUGCGUAGGCGGCUAAUUGAGUCGGAUGUGAAAUCCCCGAGCUUAACUUGGGAAUUGCAUUCGAUACUGGUUAGCUAGAGUGUGGGAGAGGAUGGUAGAAUUCCAGGUGUAGCGGUGAAAUGCGUAGAGAUCUGGAGGAAUACAGAUGGCGAAGGCAGCCAUCUGGCCUAACACUGACGCUGAGGUACGAAAGCAUGGGGAGCAAACAGG
rnacentral:rRNA from 1 species